UGCUUUUACCUGCAAAACCGUCCAAUUCACAACUCAGGGUCUCAUUAGAGGUUCACAUAAAACUGUCUUCAAUUCCAGACAGGCAUAGCUUCUUCUGUGCUGUGAUUCCGUCUUGAAUGAUCGCUUGAAGACUUGAUAUCUUUGAUAUUCAAUCUUGUGAAGAUAGAAAUACCCACAAACAAAAGCUUGAUAAAAACCCUUAAGGUAAGAUGGAGCCUGUGGGCUUCUUUGGAAUCUUUGAGGAAUCCAGGAGAAUCAUCACUGCACACUCAAGGCAUUUUUUGGGGCUUUCUGUGCUGUUCCUACUACCUAUCGCUUUCUUGACCUGUGCCGCAUCAACAUUCAGGAAUUGGAUUAACGUCAAUGAAGGUCAUGAGGAGCUUCUCCGCAGCACUGUAUUAACAUAUUCCAACCAUGGUGAUGAUGACGAUAAUAAGGAUUUCUUCCUUGCUUACACCAGAGGCCUAAUGGAAACCAAGGUAGUCCUCCUUUUAAGCUUGUAUGGUUUACUGAUGUUCGGUCUAGCACUGUGCUCAAAUGCUGCAGUAACCCACAGCACAUGUAAUGGGUUUUAUGGGAGAGGGGUUAAGCUCCCUGGGGCAAUCAAGUCAAUACCAGGGUCAGCAUGGAGGCUUUUGUUAACUUCAGCUUGUGGAAUGGCUGUUCUUGUUGGGAUAUCUUUCACUUUUGGGCUUUUACUGUCAUUGGUUCUUUUGGGUUUAUCAGCAUUUAAUGUAACCCUAGAAUCUAUGACCCCUGUUCAUCUGGUCAUAGUAGUUUUGGCUGGACUGGUGGGUUUGUACCUUCAGAUCCAUUGGAUCCUGGCAACUGUUAUACCCGUGGUGGAGGGUUCGUGGGGAUUGGAACCCUUAAGGAGAAGCAGUUACCUUGUUCAAGAAAUGAGCUGUGUGGGUUCUGGUCUAUAUCAGGAUAAUGAUCUAGAUGAAGAGGAAUAUAAUGGUGAACGAUACUGGUAUAAAGCUUUUACAACCUCAAGCAGGUGUCAUAUUAUGAGGAUAACAGCUACAUAGUUUUCUUGAUGGCAAAAGAGUUAUCAAUGUUUCUGGAUUGCUUCAUCUCAGUGGGAAGAGUGGAUGUACAUGAUCAACUGUAUGUAUUCAGGUCUAUGCCAGGAUAACAAUCUAGAUGAAGAAGUAGCAUCAUAGUGCACAUUAAUUCUGUUCAAAGGUGGAAGUGGUAAAAUUGUGAUGAAGCAUUAUAAUAGGCUAGUAGCUUUCAGCUUGUGUCAAUAGAAAGCAGGUGUCAUAAUUUUGAGGAGAGCAGCUACGUAGUUUUUAGAGGCAUAAGAAGUAAGAACUAAUGAGCUUCUGUUUACGGAGGGGAAUUUUGGAGUGAACUGAACAUUUGUAAAUUGCUUUCACGUUGCAAGAUGGAAGGCCACUUCUAUUUAGAGAAUAGGUAAUUGGUCAUUGGAUUGACUCACUUUUAUCAAGAUACUUUAAAUCCCCAUGUCUUCACUCUUCCACCUUUGAUGAUGGUAUAGAUGAUAAUUGUGUGGGAACUUAUUAUAUUUGCCUGA